rnacentral:tRNA from 4 species
UGCGCGGUAGUGAAGUUCGGUUAUCACGCGGGGCUCAUAAUCCCGUAUCGUGGGUUCAAAUCCCACCUGCGCCAC